rnacentral:lncRNA from 1 species
GCUACAUAUGUUGAUGACACAGUGCUGUGUUCCCACCAUGCGUAUGGGCUUUAUUAUUAUUAGGUAUUAUUAUGAACUGUUUUAUGCAUUUCAACCUCCAAUGUUUGUGUUUUUGGACAAUAAAGUGAAGUUACAAGCUACUAUACAUUAAAUUGGGCAGUACCCAUGCAGCAGCUAAGAAGAUAUAUUUCAGAAAAGGAAACAUUUGCCGUGUAACUUGCCGGUUCCAAGUCCAAAUAAAGUAGUAGGGAAGUCAUUUUACUUCUAA